UCAGUUUAUAGUUGUUUAAAAUCAUUUAUUAAAUUUUGAUAAUAUUAUUUUUUGGUCUUUGAUAAUGUUUAUACAAAAUUACAAUUAUUCAGUUAAAUUUUAUUAACACAGAAACUGGAAUAAAUGUCCAUUUCCUAGUCUCAUGGUUUCUUGGGAGUAUGUCACAGCAGUUUUCUAUGGCCCAAUAAACAUGAUAAAUGUUAUGACUUAAGCACCCUUUUUUGAUAUUUCAUUAGAUUGAGAUUACCCGUUUAAUCUUUAGACACUUUAAAUAACAAUAUUAGCAGAAAACAUGGAAAAGAAAAAAGUAAUUGAUGUGAUACAUACAACGUUUUGAAUAAUUAUUUUCAAUAAGAUUUGGAUGGCACCAACUUCUCCUGAGUUCUGACUAUUGAUGAUAAUGGUUCUUUUCACAUUUUUUCCCUCGUUUGUUGGAAAGAUAAUUGACUAUCACCUUGUGAAUAGGACACAUCUUUAUUAUAAUCACCAUAUCCAAUGAAAACUUCAACUCUCACUACCUCAGUCACAAUUUGUUCAUUCUUUUUUUUUUACCCCAAAAUUCUAAUGAAAAUUUAUUAUAAAAGUAAUCAUAUUGUACCUAAUAAACAUUUCCAAAUAUUUCAAUACAAAUACCUCCUGUAAACUACAA
rnacentral:lncRNA from 1 species